rnacentral:piRNA from 1 species
UAAACAAAAGACCCACUCAGUCUGUGUUA